rnacentral:rRNA from 1 species
UACAGAGGUCCCAAGCGUUGUUCGGAUUCAUUGGGCGUAAAGGGUGUGUAGGUGGCGCCGUAAGUCGGGUGUGAAAUCUCGGGGCUUAACUCCGAAACUGCAUUCGAUACUGCGGUGCUUGAGGACUGGAGAGGAGACUGGAAUUCAUGGUGUAGCGGUGAAAUGCGCAGAUAUCAGGAGGAACACCGGUGGCGAAGGCGGGUCUCUGGGCCGAUACUGACGCUGAGGAGCGAAAGCGUGGGGAGCGAACAGG